rnacentral:rRNA from 1 species
GAGGCACGAAAGCGUGGGGAGCAAACAGGAUUAGAUACCCUGGUAGUCCACGCCGUAAACGAUGAGUACUAAAUGUUGGGUAAAACCAGUGUUGAAGUUAACACAUUAAGUACUCCGCCUGAGUAGUACGUACGCAAGUAUGAAACUUAAAGGAAUUGACGGGACUCCGCACAAGCGGUGGAUCAUGUUGUUUAAUUCGAAGGUACCCGAAAAACCUCACCAGGUCUUGACAUGCUUCUGCAAAGCUGUAGAAACACAGUGGAGGUUAUCAGUUGCACAGGUGGUGCAUGGUUGUCGUCAGCUCGUGUCGUGAGAUGUUGGGUUAAGUCCCGCAACGAGCGCAACCCUUAUUGUUAGUUGCCAGCACGUAAUGGUGGGGACUUUAGCAAGACUGCCAGUGAUAAAUUGGAGGAAGGUGGGGACGACGUCAAAUCAUCAUGCCCCUUAUGACCUGGGCUACAAACGUGAUACAAUGGCUGUUACA